rnacentral:misc_RNA from 1 species
GAUGAAGAACGUAGCGAAAUGCGAUAAGUAGUGUGAAUUGCAGAAUUCAGUGAAUCAUCGAAUCUUUGAACGCACAUUGCGCCCUUUGGUAUUCCUUAGGGCAUGUCUGUUCGAGCGUCAUUUAAACCUUCAAGCUAAGCUUGGUGUUGGGUGACUGUCCGCUUCACGGCGGACUCGCCUCAAAAUUAUUGGCGGCCGGUACAUUGGCUUCGAGCGCAGCAGAAACGCGAACUCGGGCCCGUCGUAUUGGCUCCCAGAAGCUAUCUUCACAAUUUUGACCUCGGAUCAGGUAGGGAUACCCGCUGAACUUAAGCAUAUCAAUAAGCGGAGGA